ACUGGCGCGAACAGCUUAUACCAACCUUGCCAAGGUUGGGGUCGAGGGUUCGAAUCCCUUCGCCCGCUCCA
rnacentral:tRNA from 1 species